rnacentral:tRNA from 1 species
GGUGACAGUUGGCUUCGCUGCCCGGUCUUGAAAACCGUCGUGGCAGCGAUGUCACCGUGGGUUCAAAUCCCACACCCA